UUUAAUUAAUUUAUUACCUUGAUUUUGCCUUAAAACCAAUGUGUAUGAACUUUUGCAUGAAUAUUUUAUAGAUAUAGACUUUAUCUUUUUAUUUACCUAUUAACAGUCUAACUUCAUCGUCAUUCUCUUCACAAAAAUCCUAGGUGGUUUUCAUAAAAACUCUUCCAACAUCAACUCGAACAUCAUCUCUUUUCAACAUCAACUCUUCAAACUCAACUCUUCCAACUCAACUCUUCCAACCUUACUCGCUGAAGCUAUGUCAUCACGUUUGAGUUCAUGCUUUGAAGUUCAUGUCGAUUCGAAAAGCACCUCUCAUACAACAUUUACUACAACCUCUGUUAAUACAAAAAGUAAAAUAAAAAUUAUAGGUUCCAUGAUGUUGACCAAGGUGGAAAAAGCCCGUGAAAGCGAUGUUCGCUUCCCGAUUAAUUUUGAUGUAAGAACCAGUAAGGCUUAUGGUGAAAUACUGAUGAUUUUAGGGGUUACAUUACAUUACAAGGUAGAAGCAAAAUGAUUUAUUUUAAGACACAACUCACACGUGAUUAUAUUAAACAUCCAAGUGAUAACAAAAGAGCCUUCAUACAUGAAGUAUCCAUUUAUUGUUACAAUAAUUUGGGAGGAUUUUGUAAAGUCUUGUGCUACUUCUGAUUUCCUGGCUAAGAGCCAAAAAAGAAAGGAGAAUAGAGAUAGAAAUAUCUAUCCACAUAGAUUGUCUCUUGGAGGAUAUGAUAAACUUGAACAUAAAAUUAUCAAUGAAAAAAGAAAAUAAAGGGAACUAGAGCUGAGAGAUCCUUCUAGAAGCCUUGAUCACAAUCCAUCUCUACCAUCAAGCCAUGAGAAAUGGAAGAUGGCGCGUCAAAGACCAUGUAUGAAGUGCAUAUUAGAGGCUACACGCGAAGUGGAUGAAAAGCUUGAUGUACUAGUUGACAAUCCAAAGUUGGUAUAUUCGCUCCACAAGAUCGUCAUGACAUCUUGAAAGAAGUGAUUGGAACCGAGGAACAUAUUGGGCGUGUUUGUGGUCUUGGAAGAGGCGUAGACUUGAGGUUAUAUUUUGGACCAUCACAAUCAAUUAACAAAGUAAACCAUGAGAGAGAAAUUAAAGAGAUAGUUGCUGAAAAUUUAGGGGAGGUAUUAGAACAGGAGCAGAAGAAGUGGACUCAGGAGGUGAUGGAUGAGUUAACUCAAGAGGAACAUGGGAGGGUGCAUCAGAAUGAGCGAGAGAGGUUGUUGCAGGAGGUACGGAAGAGGGUCCAGGAGGAGCAAGAGAGGUUGGAUGAGGUUGACCGAGAUAACUGUAUCCGCGAUGUAAUUGAGGUGUACUCAACCACUCAAUUUUAGAUCAGUUGGACAUACCUGGGAAAGUAGUUGUGAAAGUUAUUAUGGGUAGUGAAAGCACAAAAGAUAGUUGUUUUGUGCCACAACAUAAUAUUGAGACCACACCACCUUAACUAGAUAACACUCACAGACUAUCAAGGAUGAUAGAGUAUAUUCUAGACAUCUGUGGGUUUAUUACAUUAAAACAUGAACCAAAAUAAGCUUAUAUACUUCCUAAGAGUUGUGUUAUGGAAUUUUUGAAGGCAGAUGAUUGGCUGGACAUAACCGUACUAUAAUUGUGGUGCUCGUUCAUGCAUGAGAUGUGUGUUGAAAGGAAAUUAAGAAAGUAUUGUUUCUUAGAUCCAUUUAACAUUAACUUUCAUGAUAUAGUAGCAAAUAAUAUCAAGACGUACAUAUAAAACAAGUUGGUUGAUGAUAACAAAGAAUGUUAUUUGGGAUUGUUUUACCUUUCAUAAGUAUAUAUUAAUUUGUAUUUUCAUUUAUAAAUAAAUUUUAUACAAAUUAUUAAUUAUUCUAAAUGUUUAUGCAGUUUGCAUUGUCAACUAGUUAUUAUAUGUCUGAAGUAAAAUGUUGUAGUUAUGGUAUGCAUGUUAGUCGUAGAGCUGUCAAAAUGGGCUACCCUACGCAUUUCUUUAUUAUGUCGCCCAUUUCCUAGAUUACUCACACGAUUCAUGAAUGCAUGGAGAGUGACAUGUCUCAGUCUAUAAAAGUGUGAAUAGGGAGUCAAAAGGGGAUGGUCAAGUUUCAUACGAAUAACCUAUUUUACCUCAGUUGGGAAAGAAUUGUUACCUCGGUUUUAUGGGCGACAUAAAGAAAUGUGUCAUAGAAAGUCGUCACUUUUCGCCUCAGUCUACUUGCAACUGAGCCAGUAGUGGGUUCGAUCCUCAACAGUUGCAUAUUCAUUUUUUUUAAACACACUACUUUACCUCUCGACUUUUAAAAUACCCGAGGGGAUAUAUAUAUAUAUAUAUAUAUAUAUAUAUAUAUAUAUAUAUAUAUAUAUAUAAAGUUUUUAAUUAUACAUCAUUUUCAUGUCAAUCCACAAUUACAAAUUAUUGACGAUUUUUUAAUCUGAUUCAUCAUCAUCACUAUCAAUCUUGGAGAAGAAGA